UUCCCUAUUUAAGGUACAGGAGCCCUCUCCAUUUUCCACCAGAUAACUUACACCACCAGCUGAAAUUUCCUCAUCUACAUGACAAUUAAAGUGACGACAAAGCUUCCAUCUCCUGCAGUCUAACCCAUUUGAAGAGCUGGUUGUGGUGCCUGGGCUCUCCCUCCAACCUCAUCUCCAUUCAUAUUUUGGCUGGAUUCAAAUGAGCUAGAUAUCAUGCUCUUCAUCCCAUUUUCAUUAGCAGUUUUGCAGGGAUUCUCAGCCAGAAGCUGAUUAUAUAGACCCAUACUGGAGGUCUAAAGAGGCAUUUCUUGGCAUUUCGUAGGCCUUCCAGAGUGAUUCUGUGGUAUAUUUCAGCUGAAAUUCCAACAUUGUUCAUUUCAGGUCCAGCCAUGAAAAUGAAAUUUGAGUUUUAUCUGAUGCCUGACAGAAGAUGGGAAAACCCUUCAGGGACGCUGGGCAGUGGAAGUUUUGGGAUCUCACACAUGUGAGGACUGGCACCACUGCGUUCGGCACAGGCAUUUUGACUCGGUGCCAGGCUUUCCUGAUUCAGAAGGCAGAAAACAAUACUUGGUUGGUUCAGCUGGACUUUGCGUCUUCACUGAGAGACAGGCACGGCGACUCAAGUUCUGCCAUUUUUUGGCUAAGACCAUCUCUGACAACACCUGGUUCUCAACAGGAAAUAGCAGAGGCCACUGGUUCAGCGUGGACCAUACCCUCAAAUAAAUUAAGUGCCAUGGGACAGCUAAACAUGCAGUUAAUAAAAAUAACUAAACCAGGCGAUGCUGCUGACAUUUGUAUUUGUAUUUGUAAAACUGUGCUUGAAUUCGUUUUUGGUGGCGGGAUACAAAAAUAAAGUAUUAUUAUAAUAUUAUUAUUAUUAACUGGCUAGAUGGAGCAACUCUAAUACAUGCCAAUGGCCC